rnacentral:rRNA from 1 species
CCAGACUCCUACGGGAGGCAGCAGUGGGGAAUAUUGCACAAUGGGGGGAACCCUGAUGCAGCGACGCCGCGUGAGUGAAGAAGUAUUUCGGUAUGUAAAGCUCUAUCAGCAGGGAAGAAAAACCGACCAUAGGGUCGCUAGACGGUACCUGAUUAAGAAGCCCCGGCUAACUACGUGCCAGCAGCCGCGGUACUACGUAGGGGGCAAGCGUUAUCCGGAUUUACUGGGUGUAAAGGGAGCGUAGACGGCCAUGCAAGCCUGAUGUGAAAGGUGUGGGCGCAACCCGCACACUGCAUUGGGAACUGUAUGGCUAGAGUGUUGGAGGGGCAGGCGGAAUUCCUGGUGUAGCGGUGAAAUGCGUAGAUAUCAGGAGGAACACCGGUGGCGAAGGCGGCCUGCUGGACGACGACUGACGUUGAGGCUCGAGAGCGUGGGGAGCGAACAGGAUUAGAUACCCCCGUAGA